rnacentral:tRNA from 1 species
GCCGGGGUGGCGGAAUGGCAGACGCGCAGGGCUUAGGACCCUGUGGGAGUAAUCCCGUGUGGGUUCAAAUCCCACUCCCGGCAC